AGAGUUUGAUCCUGGCUCAGGAUGAACGCUGGCGGCGUGCCUAAUACAUGCAAGUCGAACGAGUUCUCGUUGAUGAUCGGUGCUUGCACCGAGAUUCAACAUGGAACGAGUGGCGGACGGGUGAGUAACACGUGGGUAACCUGCCCUUAAGUGGGGGAUAACAUUUGGAAACAGAUGCUAAUACCGCAUAGAUCCAAGAACCGCAUGGUUCUUGGCUGAAAGAUGGCGUAAGCUAUCGCUUUUGGAUGGACCCGCGGCGUAUUAGCUAGUUGGUGAGGUAAUGGCUCACCAAGGCGAUGAUACGUAGCCGAACUGAGAGGUUGAUCGGCCACAUUGGGACUGAGACACGGCCCAAACUCCUACGGGAGGCAGCAGUAGGGAAUCUUCCACAAUGGACGCAAGUCUGAUGGAGCAACGCCGCGUGAGUGAAGAAGGCUUUCGGGUCGUAAAACUCUGUUGUUGGAGAAGAAUGGUCGGCAGAGUAACUGUUGUCGGCGUGACGGUAUCCAACCAGAAAGCCACGGCUAACUACGUGCCACAGCCGCGGUAAUACGUAGGUGGCAAGCGUUAUCCGGAUUUAUUGGGCGUAAAGCGAGCGCAGGCGGUUUUUUAAGUCUGAUGUGAAAGCCCUCGGCUUAACCGAGGAAGCGCAUCGGAAACUGGGAAACUUGAGUGCAGAAGAGGACAGUGGAACUCCAUGUGUAGCGGUGAAAUGCGUAGAUAUAUGGAAGAACACCAGUGGCGAAGGCGGCUGUCUGGUCUGUAACUGACGCUGAGGCUCGAAAGCAUGGGUAGCGAACAGGAUUAGAUACCCUGGUAGUCCAUGCCGUAAACGAUGAAUGCUAGGUGUUGGAGGGUUUCCGCCCUUCAGUGCCGCAGCUAACGCAUUAAGCAUUCCGCCUGGGGAGUACGACCGCAAGGUUGAAACUCAAAGGAAUUGACGGGGGCCCGCACAAGCGGUGGAGCAUGUGGUUUAAUUCGAAGCAACGCGAAGAACCUUACCAGGUCUUGACAUCUUUUGAUCACCUGAGAGAUCAGGUUUCCCCUUCGGGGGCAAAAUGACAGGUGGUGCAUGGUUGUCGUCAGCUCGUGUCGUGAGAUGUUGGGUUAAGUCCCGCAACGAGCGCAACCCUUAUGACUAGUUGCCAGCAUUUAGUUGGGCACUCUAGUAAGACUGCCGGUGACAAACCGGAGGAAGGUGGGGAUGACGUCAAAUCAUCAUGCCCCUUAUGACCUGGGCUACACACGUGCUACAAUGGAUGGUACAACGAGUUGCGAGACCGCGAGGUCAAGCUAAUCUCUUAAAGCCAUUCUCAGUUCGGACUGUAGGCUGCAACUCGCCUACACGAAGUCGGAAUCGCUAGUAAUCGCGGAUCAGCACGCCGCGGUGAAUACGUUCCCGGGCCUUGUACACACCGCCCGUCACACCAUGAGAGUUUGUAACACCCGAAGCCGGUGGCGUAACCCUUUUAGGGAGCGAGCCGUCUAAGGUGGGACAAAUGAUUAGGGUGAAGUCGUAACAGGGUUACC
rnacentral:rRNA from 2 species